AUUUUUCAGCCCUCGCUCUCACUAAAAUCAGAAAUUGCUCUCUAAAAUGAAAAAGAGCUCUCCUUCUAUCACAUUUGUCUCUCAUUUCCUUACUCCUCUUCACCCUUAGCCGCGCAACCACACACACCUUCCUCUGCAAAAAUCCGAAAACAACCCUACCACAGAGGUAAACCUUGUCCAUUUUUGCGUCUCAUAUACUCCACACUGCAUGUGUAGACUGAUGUGGUAUCUUGUUUAUGUGCACAGGUUCUCGAUCUGGAAGUUUAGCCAUGACAAGGAAAACGCAAUGCAAACCAGCUACCAUGCAGAUCUGGUUCCUGCAAAAGAUCUGUGACAGACCCGAGAAAGAACUCUCAAACUGAAAAUCCACUGGACAUAAAGCAUGGCCCAUCAUGAAGGUUUGAUCUUUCGAUUAUGAAGGAAAUGUGGUCACUGAUAGAUCCGUGGGAAAUAAAAUGGACGGCGAAACCUCAGCUGCAAUAGACAAAAACGGGACAAGCUUCCAAGAACCCAGAUCGGUGAAUCUGGGAGGUAAAAUUUCAUAUCCUUGCAAGUGGAAUUGUUGUAGAUCUGGUAAUAAUAGCUGUACUCGGUUCUGUGGUGUAUGGAUCUGUGAUUUAAUUGUGCUUCCUCCAUGCAUCGCACAACUGAGCUGCAGAAAAUUAACUGCUCUAAACUCUGUUUAUGCGCUGGAUCUACAACAAUCACCCCCAAACUUGCAUCUGUGAA